AUCGCUUCUCGGCCUUUUGGCUAAGAUCAAGUGUAGAAGUAACUCUGUACAUUGGGUUGUUACCAUUUUUUGGACUCAUGUAUGAAAAUUUUCAAAUAUAUUCAGAAGUGGAGUGAACAGUAUAAAAAAUCCUACGGUACUUAGUUUAUUCUUU
rnacentral:snRNA from 1 species